GAUAUAGUGGCAGACGGGUGAGUAACGCGUGGGAACAUGCCUUUCACUAAGGAAUAGCUUUUGGAAACGAAAGGUAAUACCUUAUACGCCCUUAGGGGGAAAGAUUUAUCGGUGAAAGAUUGGCCCGCGUUAGAUUAGCUAGUUGGUAAGGUAAGAGCUUACCAAGGCUACGAUCUAUAGCUGGUCUGAGAGGACGACCAGCCACACUGGGACUGAGACACGGCCCAGACUCCUACGGGAGGCAGCAGUGGGGAAUAUUGCACAAUGGGCGAAAGCCUGAUGCAGCCAUGCCGCGUGAAUGAUGAAGGCCUUAGGGUUGUAAAAUUCUUUCGCUAGGGAUGAUAAUGACAGUACCUAGUAAAGAAGCCCCGGCUAACUUCGUGCCAGCAGCCGCGGUAAUACGAAGGGGGCUAGCGUUGUUCGGAAUUACUGGGCGUAAAGCGCACGUAGGCGGAUUAUUAAGUCAGAUGUGAAAUCCCAAGGCUCAACCUUGGAACUGCAUUUGAAACUGGUAAUCUAGAGAUCAGGAGAGGUUAGUGGAAUACCGAGUGUAGAGGUGAAAUUCGUAGAUAUUCGGUGGAACACCAGUGGCGAAGGCGACUAACUGGACUGAUACUGACGCUGAGGUGCGAAAGUGUGGGGAGCAAACAGGAUUAGAUACCCUGGUAGUCCACACCGUAAACGAUGAGAGCUAGUUGUCUGCAGGCAUGCCUGUAGGUGACGCAGCUAACGCAUUAAGCUCUCCGCCUGGGGAGUACGGCCGCAAGGUUAAAACUCAAAGAAAUUGACGGGGGCCCGCACAAGCGGUGGAGCAUGUGGUUUAA
rnacentral:rRNA from 1 species